CAGGGAGACAAAACUGAUUAUGAUGUUUAAUUAUUUAGCUUCAAGCCAUAAUCCUGUCACCUUAGGUCGAUCGGUACCUCAGUUUGAUAAUGAAAAACUAUUAAAUUCAGUUCCUAAACUUUGUCUAGGUCACACCCAGCAAGGGUACUCCUGGGCCAUUAGCUCAGGUGGUUAGAGCGCACCCCUGAUAAGGGUGAGGUCCCUGGUUCAAGUCCAGGAUGGCCCAUUCGGUGUUGGGGGUAUAGCUCAGUUGGUAGAGCGCCUGCUUUGCAAGCAGGAUGUCAGCGGUUCGAGUCCGCUUACCUCCACUGAUCGACCUUCUGAAAUCGAAGCUUAUGGAGACCUUUCUUCGAAGUGAUCUAGAAUUUGUUCCUGAAUAGUUGAACCUAGCUUCUUAUCAUUCCAAUUCAAAGAAUUCUUUUUUUGGUUGAUAUGACGCUGGGCUCCCCUGCAAUUUAACUUGCGGAGAAGUUCAGUAGAACCUUGACAACUGCAUAGUGAGUCUGGAAAAAAUAAAGCAUCUCAUGGAUGAAUUAUUUUCUCUUAAACAGAUUAAAUAGAUGUUUUGAUUUAAUCUCAGCAUCCUUUAUUUGUUUUGGUUUGGAAAAUGAUUUUGAUUCUUGAGCAAGAGCCGAGACUUUAUGACGUUCUUUUUUUGGUAAUUACCAUUGAAAGUUUGAUCUUUGAUUUAAUUUCCCUAUAAGCUUUCAAUAUUAGAUUAAUUUUAAUAUUUGAUACCUUAUAUAAAUCACAAAUUGAAGAAAAUCUAGCGGUAUAAAGAUUUAAU
rnacentral:tRNA from 1 species